rnacentral:sRNA from 1 species
AUAUUUGUUAUUAUUAUUUGUUUUGUUUAGUACUGUAUAGUUGUAAUUUGAUUGUUAAUUCGAGGAGUACACCCGUGGUAUCCAAAUUUGUCCCAUCUAAACUCAUAGCACCAUAUAAACUCGUUUCAUCCAAACCCGUCCUACCAUGUAAACUCGUCUCCUUUAAACCCAUCCCGCCAUAUAAAUCCGUCCCGUGAUAACUAAAAAUCAAAUU